rnacentral:rRNA from 1 species
GAUGGACGCUGGCGGCGUGCCUAAUACAUGCAAGUCGAGCGAACGGACGAGAAGCUUGCUUCUCUGAUGUUAGCGGCGGACGGGUGAGUAACACGUGGAUAACCUACCUAUAAGACUGGGAUAACUUCGGGAAACCGGAGCUAAUACCGGAUGAUAUUUUGAACCGCAUGGUUCAAAAGUGAAAGACGGUCUUGCUGUCACUUAUAGAUGGAUCCGCGCUGCAUUAGCUAGUUGGUAAGGUAAUGGCUUACCAAGGCAACGAUGCAUAGCCGACCUGAGAGGGUGAUCGGCCACACUGGAACUGAGACACGGUCCAGACUCCUACGGGAGGCAGCAGUAGGGAAUCUUCCGCAAUGGGCGAAAGCCUGACGGAGCAACGCCGCGUGAGUGAUGAAGGUCUUCGGAUCGUAAAACUCUGUUAUUAGGGAAGAACAUAUGUGUAAGUAACUGUGCACAUCUUGACGGUACCUAAUCAGAAAGCCACGGCUAACUACGUG